CAACCCUCAAGCACUGCUUGGUCUUGGGCUCCACCGCUCACCGGCGGGCCUUAAAAUCAGUGGCGGUGCCGUCGGGCCCUGAGCGUAGUAAAUCUCCUCGCUACAGGGUCCCGGUGGACGCUAGCCAGCAACCCCUAUUUUCUAU
rnacentral:misc_RNA from 1 species